GCUGGUUUAACAAGAAGGAGCAGGGAAAGGUGUCUACCUUGAAUCUCCAAUCUAAAAGGUUGGUAUAGGCAUAAGAUGUCAAGAAAAUUAGCAGAAAACAUUGUGUUGAGCCCUCAAGAUUUGCUUGGAGCAGAGGAGACCACACUCCUGCAGCUGGGUGGUCAGAAACUCAGUCAUUUGCCCUGCAGAAUUUUCUACACUGUGGAUUUGCCUGACUACACCCUGUGGUGCUGUUCCUCUGUCUUGUUCUGGGAUUUCAAUGGAUUGAAUGAGGCCCAGCCACGCCGGAGAGGGCAAUCUGCUUUACUUACUUUACCAACUUGGAUGUGAAUCUCACGGAGAAGCUCUCCCACAGACACACCCAGAAUACUAUUUGACCAAAUGUCUGGAUAUCCUGUGGCUCAGUCAAGUUGUUACAUAAAAUUAACCAUCCCUGCUGGUAUGUACGGAAACAUUAGUUGGAGCACGGCAGUUUGUG
rnacentral:lncRNA from 1 species